rnacentral:lncRNA from 1 species
UGGAAUUUUGUUUUGGCCAGAUUAUACACUUAUGUUUAUCACAUCUGGUAAAAUGGCCAAACAAAAGGAUUGAAUCAAAAGGUUUAAGCUUUCUCUAAUAAUUUUGUGAUUCAUAAGUUUUUAUAAACAAGAUUCAUGUAGAUCUUUAGGUAUUUUGAUAACUUUAUAAGUUUUUAGAGAAACAUAGAACCUUUAGAGAAUUUUAAGUUUUAUGGAUUCAAAAUACUUUUAGAAUCAAGUUUCAUAUGGAUCAUAUGGAUCAUAGAAACAAGAUCAAUAUUUUAAAUCCAUAGAUUGUUUAUAAGUUAUGGAUUCAUAUAGAUCCUAGAUUUCUUUCAGAUAUAAUGGUGUUCUUUAGAUUUCAAGGUUUUGAUUUGUUUACCUUUUUCACCACAAGAAUCUGAGAGGACCACCGUGAGAGUUGGCCGGAAUUUGAGAGAGAGGGGAGUUUUCCGGCGGAGAGAGAGAGGUGGCCUGCUGGAGAGGAGGCUGAGCGCCGGUGGAGCAAAGGCUGAGCACCGGAGGAGCUGGCCGGAAAGAGGAUCGCCGGCUGAGAGAGAUUUCUCAGGUGGAGAGCACAAUCGUGCUGAUAACGUGUUAGAAAUAUGAGAGAAGUGUUGUUGUGAAAGUUGUGUCUUUCUCAUUAGCUCUCACUAUCAAUAUAUAGUGGAGGUUCAUAAGGGUUUACACAAAGGAGAGAAUCUACAUAUUUAAUACAUUUGACUACAAAUAUCUAGACUUGGUCAAAGCUCAUAAAUGCUCCGGUUGAAUGAGUCUUCAUCUUGACUAGUCUUGGUCGGAUGUAGACGGAUCGGAGACGGGUGUAGACGGACCGGAUAGUCGGGUCAGAUGUAAACCUCCUUAAUGGUUAAUGGCAAUCCACAUAUCCAUAUCAUGGAUUUAUAACAGUGAAUCUUUUUGCGACAUAUUAUAUGAUUUGUUGUUUUGUGUCCAAAAAGACUGAUAGACGAAUGAAAUCAUGUUUUCCUGUUUGAACUCGACGUUAAACUGACAAACAAAUAUAUAAUUCGUGUUUAGAUUUUAAUAAUCAAGCUUUUCAAAGAAAUUAACAGUAUUGUCCAUGUAGAAGUGAUACAUACACAAGGACCCUCAAUUUGAUGUUUGUAUAAUAAGGACACUGAGGGAACUAAUAUUCACCAUCUAUUUUUUUUUUCCAUAAGUCCUAUCGGCUGAUUCGGUCAGCUCCGAGAGGAACGCAGUUAGUGUUACAUAGUAGACUAGUAUGAAAGCAUACCACACUGUUUUACCCGAGUUUGAAAUAUUUUGCAACUAAUGCCAGAAAAUAGACAGAUCAUCUGUUACGGCCCACCAUGUAAACCAUUUGGGACGAAUCUCAAACCCAAACUGACUAAAUAGUGAUAAUUUAGUUCUCAGAGAAAAUCGAACACAUGACUGAUGUUGAUAUACACCAAAUCUCAAAAGAUUGCCACUAAACUACCACCACUUUGGUUUCACCUCCACCGUCUUAUUUUAUGAUUUGAUUUAAUUAGGCACGUAAAUAUAUUAUUCUUAUAAGUUAUAAAUAAGUUUUAUCAAAUCUUACAUAUUUUUUUGAUGAUAUAGUUUAGCUGUAGCCCGUAAGUAACACAAUUUACGGUUGUUUGGACAUGCUGCAUUACACACUAGUCAAUGCAGAUGCGUUAUUUCCUUUAAUUUCACUAACAUAAAUCAUGUUUCUACUUCUUACAACACUCGAUUUUAUCACUGACGAAUUGGAAAAAUUAAAUAGUUUAAAAUGAUCCUCAAAACUAACCUUUACAUCAUGGGAUUAAUUAAAGACAUUCCUAUGAAGUUAGGCAUUUUUUAGUAGAUGUGUUUAAUGGUCAAGUCCGGUAACAAAAUGGACCCAACAAGGUUUUGAUUCGAGUUAAAGCAAAAUGGGACAACCAGUAGAUUUUUUAUUGUAUUAAUCUGCUUUUUGCAUGACUUUAUAAACAAGAAAACAGACCAAAAGAAGCUACUAGCACAUUAAAAAAAGGAUUAGCUUAAAAAGCGAAGCUAAAAGAUCGUACCAAUACUAACAUGGGGGAGGCAAAAAACUUCAUCAAAAGAUGCAGGGAGAGAGAGUUCUAGUGAAAGCCACAUAUAUCAAAAGCAGUUCCCACUACUUUUUCAUAUUUUUAUUUUUUUUCUCAAAUGCAAAAGCUAUAUAUAUAUACGUAAACAAUGUGUAUCAAUGUGUAACUAUUUAUUUCAAUUAUUUACCUUUUAUGUGAUGUUUUCUAAAUAAAAACAUGAUGGGUAAGGGGGGCAAUAAACAUUUUUAAGUGUAUGCAUGUGUAAUCCAUUGAGGACAUAAUAUAUGUGUGGAUCAAAUAGAAGACUUGUCCCUUUACCUCUUUUAUAAAGCAAAAGUUGAAGAUGCAUUAUUAAAAAGCCAAUAAUAUAAAUAAAUGGUAUACGUUAAGAACGACAAAUAAAUAAGCCAUGCCUUGCUGAGUAAUUAAUCAUCAUACAUAGAAUUAACGUUUGUUUUUUUGUUUGUUCAGUACAUACCAGUCCCACGUAUCAGAAUGUGAACUGAGAGAAUUGUUAAUAGAUAACACUAAUUAACCAUUACAACAAUACUGUCAUGUUGCCUAAACGUAACAUUUCUUGCAUUGCUUGAACUUAAAUAUAUUAGCCGCUUGUCAAUAGUAUUUAUAAAGUGAUAGUUUCAGAUUAGAUAUCAUCAAAAUUCCAAUGUGUUCUAAGUUUGUUUAUAGUUAUGAAUAGUCAGCUAAUACAAUUUCAGAAGCGUGCAUGCCAUUAUAGGUACAUUCACGAGAUUCCACCAAAGAGAUUCCUCAACCAAACUAGCUGUGGAAUCUCUUCACAAGAACCAGAAUGAAGUGAAGUAAAAUCACCUCUCUUUAAUCAACAAAGCUAAUUUGAAGUACUGCUGUUUGUCUUAUACGUUAUGUCCAUUAUGAAUUCCAGUUAACUGAAUCAUUCAAUGUAACACAGUAACCAAUAUCAAAGAUUCACGUAUUAAAAAGGAAAAAUUCAGGAUAUAGUGUAUGAAAAAUAACUUCAUCAUAAAGGAAAAUACAAAAUUAUAUUCUUUCACAUAAACCAAACUAAUCACAAAAUUUAAUCCAAAGUAGAAAGCAAAACAACAUAUAUUAAAAAUAAAACAAAAAUCACGAAUUUGUAAAUCCUUGAAACCCUCCACCCUGUAUCAAUGUGUAACUAUUUAUUUCAAUUAUUUACCUUUUAUGUGCUGUUUUCUAAAUAAAAACAUGAUGGGUAAGGGGGGCAAUAAACAUUUUUAAGUGUAUGCAUGUGUAAUCCAUUGAGGACAUAAUAUAUGUGUGGAUCAAAUAGAAGACUUGUCCCUUUACCUCUUUUAUAAAGCAAAAGUUGAAGAUGCAUUAUUAAAAAGCCAAUAAUUUAAAUAAAUGGUAUACGUUAAGAACGACAAAUAAAUAAGCCAUGCCUUGCUGAGUAAUUAAUCAUCUUACAUAGAAUUAACGUUGGUUUUUUUGUUUGUUCAGUACAUACCAGUCCCACGUAUCAGAAUGUGAACUGAGAGAAUUGUUAAUAGAUAACACUAACCAUUACAAUACUGUGAUGUUGCCUAAACAUAACAUUUCUUGCAUUGCUUGAACUUAAAUAUAUUAGCCGCUUGCCAAUAGUAUUUAUAAAGUGAUAGUUUCAGAUUAGAUAUCAUCAAAAUUCCAAUGUGUUCUAAGUUUGUACAUAGUUAUGAAUAGUCAUACUAAUACAAUUUUAGAAGCGUGCAUGCCAGCCAUUAUAGCUACAUUCACGAGAUUCCACAGAAGAGAUUCCUCAACCAAACUAGCUGUGGAAUCUCUUUGCAAGAACCAGAAUGAAGUGAAGCAAAAUCACCUCUCUUUAAUCAACAAAGCUAAUUUGAAGUACUGCUGUUUGUCUUAUACGUUCUGUCCAUUAUGAAUUCCAGUUAACUGAAUCAUUCAAUGUAACACAGUAACUAAUAUCAAAGAUUCACGUAUUAAAAAGGAAAAAUUCAGGAUAUAGUGUAUGAAAAAUAACUUCAUCAUAAAGGAAAAUACAAAAUUAUAUUCUUUCACAUAAACCAAACUAAUCACAAAAUUUAAUCCAAAGUAGAAAGCAAAACAACAUAUAUUAAAAAUAAAACAAAAAUCACGAAUUUGUAAAUCCUUGAAACCCUCCACCUCAAUGAUCAUAGCUUAAUUAGUUAUACUCCAAAAGCAAUUUUCAAAUUAUGAACGCAUUAUCAUCAAUAGUAAACUCUCAAUCUUUAAACCCAUCAUCAACCAUCACCAUACGUGUGAAACUAUCUCAACGAACAAGCGUGCAAAUAUAUCAAAUAAAAACCAACCCUAUUACAUUGGCCGCCACGCACUAGCCCAAACCACCGGCUGAUCUCUCCAACAAAGGAAUAUUCCGGUGGCAUCAGAGCACGGUACCAUCGACCAGACUCCUUCUUUAUACCUCCUCAACAAAGCUCUGACGUCAUCCGCCACUUCAUCACUAUACCCCACUGCCCCAAACCCUCCGUUCCUCAUCCUCCUCGACCACUUCCUCGCCGUCUCUCUCCUCUCCGUCGAACCCGACGGCUCACAGGCAAUCAAAUCAACUAUCGCACGUCCCGCCACACGUUCAAGCAUCAGCCUCUCGUUGCUCGUUCUCGGAAAACUCUCUUCCAGCGACUCGAAGCAAACCCUAAACCAACGCAGACAUUCUCCAAAAGAUCUCAAGAACUCAUCGUCAAAGCCUAGUUCUUCUCCGACAAGGUCAGCUUCUUCUUCGACCACGGUCACAAUCCUCGGCCUUAACCGUCGGAAAUUGGAUAUCACAGCGUCUCUAGGGUUUCCACGAGGCAUGAUCCCAUGCAUGGCGCCUACGCAGUUGAUGGCCAAGACCUCGUCUGAUUUAACAUCGAGCUCGUUGAGAUCAAAUUCAGACAAAUCUCCAACGUGGUGAAUAAUGUUAAAUUUAAAAGGAACUCCCAUGAGCCUAGCGAACUUCUCCAUUCGGUUUCCUAGCUCUUUCAUCAUCCGAUGCGACGCCGUUUGAUCGUUGACGUAUUUAUUAGCGACGACUACUGUGGUUAGCCUUAGGUGUGGCGUAUCGUCUGACCUCGUGGCUAAAGCUUCUAGAAGCGUUGGCCAUUGAGUGCAAAACGUCGAGCUUAUGUCAACUAUGUGGAUCUUUGCCUCUCCGUCUACUGCUUCCAAGAUCGCUCCAUUUGCCGCCACGUGUCCAAACGUGGCCCACGGGCUAACCUCUUGGAACUUGAGCACGGUCUUGCGUGUUGACUCGAAGGAGCAAGUCUUCUCUGUGGAUGCAGCGGUGACCAUGGUUCGGUAGCAUCGUUCGCCUGAACCGGUCAUGCGGUUGAAGAGAGCUUGGAGGAAGUAAGAAGCGAGUUUCUGCUCGGUAUCUCCGUAUGGUGAAGAGAGCUCGUUGAGCGUCCAGAGUAUUUGUUGCGCACGUGCGGUGUCUUUGUCGGAGAAGGCACGUGCGGCUUCGAGGAGGAUCGAGUCUGCCCAUUUGGCAUUGGAUGAGAAGUCGAAGGAAGGAGGAGUUUGAGGGAUGGAGAAAGCGGAAGGGUCAUUGUGGUGGCCGGAGGAGGAGUACGGUGAGGCCAAGGCAGCUGCUGCGGCGGUGGAGGGAGGGGUUGAUGAGGUGGCGGGAUGGUAUUGGGUGGGAGUAGUGAAAGGAGAGUAGUAGCUAUUAGGGUUGUUGUUGUGAUGAUGGUUGUGAUGAGAGGAAGAAGAGGAAAGGUCUUCUUCAUCCAUGAAUAAGUUGUAGCAUUCUUCAACAAGGUCGUUUGGUGGGAAGUUGUUGUGGUUGUAGUGAUAAGCAGUUUGUGGAGAGCCACUAGUGGUGGUAGAGGUUCUGCUUAACGAAGAUUGAUUUGUAAUAAUGCUAUCGGAUUGUUGCUGUUGUUGGAGACUGACUAACCUAAAGAGAGUAUCCAUUUUCUCUCUUUUAAUAUGAAUAAGAAAAUAAUAGAGGACAGACAAGAGAGAUGGGAGACCCACAAUAUCUAAGAUUUAAUACUUUGUUAUGUAUAUUGCAUCAGCAUCAUGUGUUGUUUAUAUAUUUCACUUUCUUUCCUUUUGUUUCGGUGGGAGUGGGUGAAUCUUUGAUGAAGAUGAGUUGUAGGGAAUGGGUUUGGUGGUCUUUGUGAGUUUUAUAAUUGGUACUAGUAAGUUAAAAGAAAGAAUGGAGCAUGAAAAGAGGAUAUUUCUGAAUCGAAUUGUUGUCCCAUGUUUAUCUUUUGGACUGAAUAGAUUGUUUGAAUCUAAUUGGGGUUAGUGAAGACAUAAUUAGAGAGAGAAGAGAUGAGUCUUAUUAAAACAAUACUCUUUAACUCUUUUUGGCUAAUCAAGAAUGUUUUUUUUUUGUUUUUACUAUAGCCCUAACUGAUGAUCAAUCAAAUUAAGCAUGGACAUAACAAUCCUACUAGUUUCACAGUUUACAUUCUACAGAAAAUAUUUAGUUAUUUAUAACUUUAUAGUGGUUCUACGAUUUACCACUUCUUCAAUCUUGUCAUAAUAUAUAACUUAUAUAUUAUUUAGUUACAUGGAAUGGAUUAGUUAGAUAGUUUGGAGGUUUCAUUAAGUAUAAAAAAGUUCUGACAAAAAGAAAAUGAGAAAAAUUAAAGAAUAGUUUCAAAAUAAAGAAGAAAAAGAUAAGAAGGUCGAUAUCAUGUAAUGGUUUUAGUGGGUUUCGCUUUCCUUCUUUUUCACAUCGAUCCACCCGAGUAACCUCUCCUCUUAUUUCUUCUACUACAAUACAUCUCUCUCAUGCAACAUUGUAUUUACGUGGAUCAUUCAUCACGCAUAUAAUAUACAUGUAUGAUGUAUCGUCUGAAUAUGUGAUUCUGGAUACCUAGAAAAGUUGAAAACGACAUACUUGUUGAACAGUUGUAUAGCACAGGGGUGGAACUGGGAGGCUUCAUGAAACAUUUUGCAUAAUACAGUAUACCAUAAGAUAUCCUGGUUUACAUACAUGGUUAGAGAAUUUACAUAGAGACAUGUGAAUAUAUAAUGUUUAUAGGUGUGAGUGAGUGGGAGCAGGCGUGAAGAAAAGCUGACGGCGUGCAUCAACAUCAUCAAAGUUCCACAUUUUCUUUGCCUCCUAACCUCUCCCCAUUCACUGCCACCACUUUUUUUCCUUUUCUUUCUUCUUCUUCGUCUACACUUUCUUUACUACUAGUAUUUUAGAUUUUUUCAUUUCAUUCGUACUUUAUUUUGCUGUUCACAUUAACCCGUAAGAAACCAACCCAUGUGUCAUAUUCCAUUCCCUUUUAUAAACAAAAUGGUGUAAUUAUCAUCUCAGGAAUCUAGGGCAUUCUUCUUUGUUUUCUUCUCCUUCAAUCCUCUCAUGCAACAUUGUAUUUACGUGGAUCAUUCAUCACGCAUAUAAUAUACAUGUAUGAUGUAUCGUCUGAAUAUGUGAUUCUGGAUACCUAGAAAAGUUGAAAACGACAUACUUGUUGAACAGUUGUAUAGCACAACGAAAAUAUCCCAAAGGCGUAUGGCUGUUUGCUUAUAUAUAGGCCAAAUACAUGAAACCAAAGUUGUUCAAGUACUAUCGUAAGUGGUGUAAAAUAGAAAAAAAAAAGACUUCUCUAUACAUGCUAAAUCAGCAGAACAAGAGAAGUUAUAAUGUGUCCUUAGCUACUUAUAAUUAAUUUCAAAUUACCGAACCAAUCGAAAUACAAACUCCUUUAGAAAAAUUAGACAAUCUACGAUAAGUUACACAUAAAUAUCAACAAUAUGUCAUGUACAAAACCACUAUUUUAAUUUUGAUAUAUUUACGUAAUAGUUUCAUACAUAAAUAUAUAUUUAGUCGUAGACGUAGACAUAUUUUCUUAGAACGUUUGGAAUCAUUAUAUCGACCCACAUAACUCUUCUUACAAAGUAUAACAUAAAGACCAACAAGACAAUAUAGACUUUUUUUAAAAUCCCAAGUCUCAACUCUAGAACUGGAUCAUUUGACUGACACGUACCACUACAAACGGAAGAAAUCAUCAGUUUAAAAAAUGCCCAACGGAAUUGAAUAGAAAAAUAUUUGCUAUUAAGAAAAGUCGUGAUAUUAACCUUUUUUUGGUUAAUGAGUAACGAUAUCACGUAGCUAAUUGAUUAGUUAGUAAAAAAACCACAUGCUCGCGAAUCCUGAUACUCUUCCGUAUGUUAUCAAAUAAAGCUACGUGACAAAACUUCUGACUAAUUCAGAUGUAUAUAUGCCAUGUCGCCUAGUUAAAAUUCUGGACCAAUAAAUGAACAAAGCGAUCAAGUAUACUAUAAAUGUACAAGAAUAGAUUAGUGCGUAGGCUACACACAAUGUCGUAGAUAUACCUGUCACGAGUCAUCACCUCACCUCUCGUAGUCGUAGAUCAAGCUCUCUUGAGUUUCUUCUACAAUUAUUAGAAGGAACCCCACAUUCUGCAUCGUUGUCCCUUUAUUCGAAGCCUAUCGUAUUUUGCAGUUUAGUUUCCUAUAUCAUUUCUCGAAAUCUGUUCUUGCGUUCUAGGAAAAGUCUCAUCUUAAUCCUGAAGAUCCAGCUUUCGGUUAUGUGCCAGUGUAUCUUAUGCAUUUGUUUUUGAGUUGGUACAUGACAUCAACCGACAUGGCAAAAAUAACUUAUGCACACCCCUAUGUCUAUCAGCAUAUAAAACAUGUUUAUGCACUAAUAAUUUGUUUGUUAUACAUAUAUACACGCUAAGAUAUAGCGGAGUACUAUACAUAAUUUUGCAUUGGCAGUGCUUAAUUUUAUGAUUUUUAAGAUGUUUUUUUUUCUUUUAAUAUGGUUUAAAUUCAUGCUUUGUUUAACUAUUGUGUCAUCGUUCAGUAAGGCAUAGACAAAAAAUAACAUGUAGGUCUCCCAUCAAUCACAUAAAGGUGAAAAGGGACUUUUGGGUAAUCAAUUUCGUACCAAAUUGAUAUAUAUAUUGAAACAAUAUAUAACAAAUGAUGUAGAAAGAUCCAUCACACAUUAUUAAGACUAACUCAAUCAACCUAACUCGAAAAGUUAAUUUUGACAUUCCCACUGAAAAUGUAUAUAAGUGACACCAGGUAAUGUUUUUCUUCAGUUCUAAGUUCUAACAUAUACUACCAAAUAGUAAUCAUCAGUUAAUGACAGAAUGUUUUAGUUGAGUUGGUUUCUCUUUUUUUUUUUUUUGAGUUACGUUUAGGCGAAUUAGAGAAGCAAAUAUGUACCAGAGCCCAUAAUCUGUAAGGCCUUAAAGACCAAUAUAGAAUUAGGCCGUAUGAGCAAAGAUCACAGACACAUAUAGACGAUGAAGGAAAACUUUGUUAUAUAUAUACAGUAAGAAAGCCCACUUAAAGCUCACUAAAUGCCUUCACAAUGGAAGUAAAUACAGACGGAUAGAUUUCGAUCCGUGCAACCGUUGCAAAUUUAUAGUUCAUAUACAGUAACUUAAUUUAUAUGUUUUGAAUUUUCAGUGAUAGCAUAUAUUAAAUCACGUGAUAUAAAAUUCUAAAUUGAAAAAUCUUAUUGAUUAAAGAUAAAAAAUGUAAUUGAAAAUUAUUAUAUUAAAUUAGUAUCGUAAAUUUAGUAAAAUAUUGUACAUGAGAUUAGUUAUAAUUACAAAAAUUAAUUAGAUAUUUUAAAAUUUUGUUUUAGUUAAAAUGAAAUACAUAUUUAAUUUUCAAAUAAACACGAAAUUAACUAAAAAUUAAAUUUUUUUGUUUAAGUGAAAAAUGAAAUAUAUUUUAUAUUGUAAAAAAAAUAUGAAAAGAUUUUUAUUCCGAUACAAUUUGAGAGAAAAUAUAGAAAUAUCAAUUUGAUUUGUUUGUUAUAGAAUAUUCAAAUAGUGAAAUAUUUAUACAAAAAUUAAUUUAAACAACUUUCUAAAGGUGGUCCAAAUUAAAAAAAAAAUCACACAUGUAUUAGGUCAUGACUUCUGUUUUAAUAGUAUAGACGAAGGAUCUAAAAUCCGCUCACGAUUUCUUUUUUAACUCAAUCAACCUAACUCGAAAAGUUAAUUUUGACAUUCCCACUGAAAAUGUAUAUAAGUGACACCAGGUAAUGUUUUUCUUCAGUUCUAAGUUCUAACAUAUACUACCAAAUAGUAAUCAUCAGUUAAUGACAGAAUGUUUUAGUUGAGUUGGUUUCUCUUUUUUUUUUUUUUGAGUUACGUUUAGGCGAAUUAGAGAAGCAAAUAUGUACCAGAGCCCAUAUCCAGAAUGAAACAUGUUAUCCAACUUCCUAUCCUCUCUCAGUGCUAAGUUUUGAUCAUGUUUAUAUCGAUGUCACGAAGCUCACAUCUUUGUAAAUAAAUACAAGAUAUAAAAUUGGCAAGAAACAAAGGAAAAUGGGCAUUUAAUUCCCGAAGUAUUUGAAAUCGAUAGUUUAAAUACCCAAGUGUUGCUCGCGCAUAUUUAUUUUCCAUCAUAUUGUUGAUGUAUUUCAUGUUUAUAUCACUUUAGAUGAUUUUUAAACUAAUUCCAAGUUUAAAAGAUUCAUAAUUUGAACUAAUAUACAAGAUACUAAUCCUGGAAAAGGAUUUUUUUCUUUUAGUUUUUAAGAGCAUAUAAGAUAGUAUAAUUACAUUUGCACUGUAUUGAUGUUGUACAAUAUAUGGUUGUCUAGUAGAGAUAAGUACAUAUGAUUGUCUAAAGUAGAGAUCCAAUGUACAACAUAUAAUUAUAUAAACAAUAUGAAAUAAUCCAAAAUGGUUUUAUAAACAUGAAAUAAAUUAACAAUACAAACAAUACAAUGCAACUAUAAUAAAAUAGUGUUGUUUUUAAUUCCUAAAUAUUUUCAAUGGCAAAUUAAAUACUCAAAUAUUAUAUGCGCAUAUUUAUUUUCCAAUUAAUCAUUGACUGCGCAAAAUUAUGAUUAGAAUAUUCAGCUGUUAAAAAAUUGACGGAAACAGUUAUUUUAUGUUUAUGAGUUAACUGUUGACUGUUUCGUUCUCAAUUUCGUGUAGUCAACUAUUUGUUGCCGAAUAAAUAUGAACGAGUAAUACUUAAAUAUUAAAAUUGCCGAUUUAAAAUAUUCCGGGAAUUAAAUGCCAUUUUCCCAAGAAACAACACAAUAUAUGAAAUGAUUUUUUCGGUCAUAUAUGAAUGAUUUAGUCAACAAACAAUUAAAAGUUUACUUUUUAUCCUGAAAAAGAACGUGUCAUUGACGAAAUGAAAAAUGAAAAGUUCAACCUUGAAGAUGAUUAAAUUUAAGAAAACACAGGUGUACCUUUCCAAGAAAGUAGUCGCCAACCAUUAUGAUGCAAUUUUGGAUUUUUGUUUUCCUUUUAAUUAUUUUAAAAACACUUGGAUAUAAUGUUUAGACAGAGAGGAAAUAAAUUAAAUAUUCAAAAAUAAAAGUAAAAAUGGAUAUAGUUUUCAAAAGUGAGUGAUACAGAAAAGGUCGUCCUACGUGGAUGUGAAUCAGCAAGUAGUUAUCCCUUCUCUAUUUGUAACUAGGUCAGCUGGGUGGGACCCAAUUUCGACGUGUUACACAGUUCACAUUCCCGAGUUUCCACCAUUAAAUAUACUAUUUUAAUUAAUUUUAUCCGACCAAGAUAGAAUUAUAAAUUGGUCUUUGCCAUUACUUCCUUCCCUCUCCGAUUUCUCAUUCUUUCCUUCUUUUUUCUAUCGCAGAUAGAUAACGUUUUCUUCCCCGGCAAAAUAUUUCUACCUUAGAUUUAGAAAUUCAAAAACAUAAAAGAAUUAUAGUUUAGUUGUGAAUAUAGAAGAAAAUCAUUCUUUUUUAUUUUCUUCUAAUCUGAUCUGCAAGUGAAGUUACACAAAUUAAACUUACCAAUAUCAGAAUUCAAUUACAAAAUCUUGUAAGUCCUCGUGUUAUUUUUCUUCUUAUAUAAAUUUAUCAAUCUGUUUCUCUAGAUCCUAAUUUUAUGUUUGUUAUUAGUUUUAAUUAAGUAACGUAUCUGAAUCAGAUUUCUUCUAUAACUUGUUACAGAAGAAAAACAAAUUAAUAGAAAAGGCCUCGAGACAGCUGAGAAAGCAUGAAGGGAAUUAUCCGAUCCAUGAUCUAGAGAUGGCGGCCGUGGUGUUUGCUUUGAAGAUAUAGAGAUCGUAUGUGUUCGGAGCGAAAGUCCAGAUUCUCACUGAUCAUAAGAGCUUGAAGUACAUUUUCACUCAGCCUGAGUUGAACUUGAGACAAAGAAGAUGGAUUGAGUAUGUUGCUGAUUAUGAUCUGGACAUAUCAUACCAUCUAGACAAGGCUAACCUAUUGGCUGAUGCCUUAAGCCGGAGAAGGGCAGAUGUCUCGGCCGAAAGAGAAGCGGAUGAACUAGAAGGGAUGGUUCGGUCACUACAUCUAAAUUCCUUGGUUGGACGUGAUGAGCCAUUGGGAUCCGAGGAAGUGGAUCAGGCCGAUCUACUUACCAGGAUACAGCAGGCCAAGAGUUUGGAUGAGAACUUGCAAAAAGUGGCUCUUAACGAUAAGACGGAGUAUCAGAUCACAAGCAACGAAACAAUCAGGGUGAAUGGCCGAGUAAGUGUUCCAAACAGAAAGGGGCUUAAAGAAGAGAUUAUGACUCAGGCUCAUAGGUCAAAGUUCUCAGUCCACCCGAUGCUGAAUAAGAUGUAUAGGGAUUUAAAAAUGUACUAUCACUGCGUAAGGAUGAAAACAGCCGAGUGGGUGGCGAGGUUCGCGUUUUCAUUCGCUUCUUAUACUCUUCUUGGUAAAUAUAUCUUCUUCUUAAUCACCAUAACAUCUUUAGUUAUAAUUAUUUUUAAAAAGAAUCUUUGGUUAUAUAACAGUACUUUAACCUAACUCUUUUGGUUUCAUGUGCAGCUACGAGAAACAAGACAUGGAAGAUUUCGCAAUGCAUCUUCUCGUACUAUCACACGUCUACGUGGUUCCGCAUCUUAAACGAGUUUGCGAGUCGCACUUCGAAAACACUUUGCUCAACGAAGAGAACGUGAUUGAUGUGUUUCAGCUAGCUCUUCUCUGUGACGCUCCUCGUCUCGGUCUUCUCUGUCACAGAAUGAUACUCAAGAGCUUUGAAGAAGUCUCUACUUCUCAAGGAUGGAUAGCGAUGAAACAAAGUCACCCUAGUCUUCAUAAAGAGCUCUUACGCUCUGUUUCUUACGAGCUUAACGUAAGAAAAAUAAACAAACCUAGGAACUUAUGUCUUGUUCUUUUACUUUUUUUUUCUGAUUUAGUUAUGUCUUUUUGUGUGUACAGAGCUUGAAGCAAAGAAGCAGGAAACAGAAAGAGAUACAGACAUAUACUCAGCUGUAUGAUGCAAUGGAAGCUUUUGUACAUAUAUGUAGAGAUGGAUGCAGAGAGAUUGGUCCAACAAAGAUCGAAAACCCGCACGUGUCUUGCGGGUUUCAAGCGUGCAAUGGUUUGGAGAUGCUGUUGAAACAUUUGGCGGGAUGUAAACUGAGAUCAAUCCCUGGUGGUUGCAGCCGUUGUAAGAUUAUGCUGGACCCAAGUGGGGGAGAGGAGCAUGUUGGGUCCUGAGAUAGUGGAAGAAACCACCGAGAAAAUAAGGUUCUUAAAGGCGAAAAUGAAAGAAGCACAAAAUCGUCAAAAGAGUUAUGUAUAUAGACGAAGGAAACAUAUUGAGUUUCACCAAGAGAAUUGGAGGAUCUCCUUUCUUUUUGCAAGCAAUUGAUGUUAAUAUGUGACAUUAUUAUUUCAUUUCAUAAUAGAGUUAGAGAUUGCAUAUAUGUAAUAUACAUAGGUAGUAGAUUCAUUGUAAAGAGAGAGAUUUUGAGAUUUAAACAAUCUUCACUCUCUAGUUACAUCACAAACCUCGUUUAAAAAGAGUGUAUCUGAUCAUAAUACCAUAAGUGUUUUGGAAACCCAUCAAGCUUAACAUGGUACCAAAGCACGAUCCACAUCGAUUCGGUCCAAAGUUGAUCCUCGAUCCUUGUCCAAGAUUAACGCUUAGGGGCGUAUUAAAGACAAAAUCUCUCACAUUGGUAGUUAGAAGAGCUCUUUAUUAAUUUAUAAGAUAGAUGAACAAAUUCAUCUAUCACCAAUUAGUUUUAGAUUGAAAACCAUCAAACUUAACAGUGACAUGGUCUUAUGAGCUUCCUUAAGUAUCUCAAUUCUGCUUCUCCAGAUGCCUAGAUGACUAAGUCUUCUUCUUCCACUAACAAGAAGCAUUAGAAGAAACAUAAGCAAUAAGAAUAAGGAAGCUAAUAACAAUAAUAUUAAGAAGAUAGUCAUUUUACUUAGUCAUAUAGGCCAUAAAGUGCUUGAAAACGCUUCACCUUAACGCCAUUGUUUUUGCAAGUGAAGACAAUGCUUUGAUCGCUACUAUUUCUAAACCUUCAGCUUGGCCUUCCUUAAAGUUUUAUUCUACAAAGACUAUAUCCUUACUCCAAGAUUUUUUGGAUUGGAAUGUUCAAUUUCACACUCCUAAAGACAUCAAAGGAGCUAAGCUAAUUGCUGAUAGUGUGAUCAAAGGGAACCGGUUUCACUCAUACAUUGCAGUUGGGUUCCCUCUUUGGCUUAGACAUUUGUUUAGUUAAUGUCUCUAGAAUUAUUAUCUGUUAGUCUGUAAUCAUUCGGAUAAUCACAUUCUGUGUAUUAUAAUGAGAUUCAGUGUGAAAAAAAAAGUCAUUUUACUUUUAAAAAAAUUCAAAUAACCUUCUAUGAUUCUCCAUUAACUUAAUAGUUUUGCAACGAAUCUUCUCCAAAAUUGCUCCGCAAGACUUACUCAUCAUGUUUUGAAAGAAGACUACUACGGCCCCAGUCGUCAUUCAAAUAAGACUACUACUGCCCAAGUCGUUAUUCUCUCUUGGACUUUUGAUUACAUCACAUUAUAUAGUCGAUGCAUGUCUAGCGUCAUAAUAGUUUCAUUGUUUCUUUGUUUUUUUUUUUAAUAUUUCUAUACUCCAUAUAAUAAGAGUUCAUUGUUGUUUUGAAAGUACUGAAUUCAUGAUUGCAUGAAUGAAUUUUUAAUAGAGUUUUUGAACAUUAAAUUUGAUGAUGGGAAAAUAGAAAAGGACGCUAUUGUGCUAGUCUAAAAUUUUAUUACAUAUUAAAUAGCAUCUUCAAUUUCGCUCUAUAAUCUACUCUAAAAUAAAAUUUAGAAUAAACAAUGAUCUAAUCUCAUUCUAUUUUCAACUACGUAUAGAAUAAACAUUGAUUUACUUCGUAAUAGAAUUUUUUUUCCAUUACUCUAUUUUUCAUUUCAAAACAGAGUAAUUAUAAACUCAACUUCAUUUUAAAAUUAUUCUAUGUUGAAAAAAUGAAGUUUUAUAUCAGAGAUAUUCUAAAAUAUCUAAAUAACAUUUUAAAUAUAUAAUUCUUAUAAAAUAUGUUUUCUUUGAAUCACACAUCCUAUAUACUUCUACCAUCAUUAUUCUUUUUUGGUACUCUUGAGGUAGACAAAAAUGAUACUCUUAUUUACUUCGCCACCGUCAUUAUAUUUAAAAUCUCCUUUGUGGUUUUUUUUCUUAUAUUAUAAAAAAAAUAUUUAGCUUCACUAAUGUUACAUCAUUUUCCUUGCGGACGCACUCGCAUAGUGAAUAUUCUCUUCGAAUAAAUAUCGCGGCCAUGUUUUUGUGGGGGAUAUAUGAGAAUGAGAUGUUUGUUUGGGUGUGAACAAAGUGCUCGUAAUUCUUUUUUCUCGUCUAGAUGUUCAUAUACUAGUGCUUUUGUGGCCUCGCGUCACAUCUACAAUAUAUGGAUCGUUAAUUUUCCGAAAAAGAAAUAUAACUAUCAAAUUGUUGCACUGGGAACUUUCAUUAUGUUACAUUAUGAUUCACAAGAUCUUCUACUUGAGAACAUCGUGAAGACUUGCCUCUUCUUUACUACCUACAUAAUCUUUACAGGAAAUUAUAUUUGGUCCCUAGUUUUCAAAAUAGCUUUAAUUUACUUGAGUAUAUACGGUAAAUAAAUAUGAUAAAAUCCUUCGUAACCCGCCUGUUUCAACUCCAUUAAACUUAUCAUUUGGGCUUUUAGUUUGUACUUGUCGGUGAACUAUACACAUACACAUACACAAAAUCACAAAUCUUUGAAUAAUUAAGACUACAACUCCAAAAGAAAAAAGAAACAAACUAAUCGGCAUCUUUAGCAAAAAAAAAAAGAAAAGUAAUCUGCAUGCAUGUCCUAAUAGAAGUUAGAACCAGAUCAAAUCGGAUCUGAUUAACCAUCAAAACAUCCUUACAUAUAUUGCUAAGAAAUGCUAAAUGAAAUAAACUCACAACAGCUAAAAACCAAACCUCCGGUCAACAUACGCACGUACGUAUAUGUGACAAUCUUUAUAACUUUUAUUUUGUUCAAUCUUUAUAACUAAAAUAUAAUAUUCAAACACAAAGUAGUAAGUUAUCUCCACAUGUCUUAUGAUGCGAUGAACAAGACCUUAUAGGUAUAAACUAUAUCCCUGACUCGUUCAGUGCUCACGACUCGACAAUACCUCUUUUGGACAAAGACGCGUUAUUAAAACCCGAUUCAAAGGUUUCAAUCAUGCUACUGCAAACAACCAAAAGAAACAUAUAAAUCUAUCAGUUUAACAUCAUUGGGACCAUUAGAUGGAGAAAAAGCGUGGUCCAUGACAUUGAUAUUCAUAUCAUUUACACGUAAGACUUGCGAUAUCAAAAUGUGUUUCAUCCUCCAGUAUCCAUCAAGGAUCAAUCUCGAAUUAGCAAAGUACUAAGAACUAAAUCCCACCUAAAAAGAACAACUAAACUAAUAUACAUCAUAUUAUACUUUAUUUACUCUUAAAAAUGUGUCUUUUCUCUAUCUAGUUUGAAUGGGAUUUUCUAGUGGGUGUUCAAAAAGUGUGUAUAAAUAAUGGUUUGGUAUUGGUAAGAUUAUCUUUUAAACCUGGAUUUUAAAACCUACUUUUACAGGUUAUGACACAAUAGUGGACGUUAUAAUUAUUGGUAAAACAUUCUGUAGAUUCAUAUUCUCCUACUAUCAUAAUUGUUAUUUUGUCUGCAGUACGAGAGCAUCAUUAACGCUACAACCGUGCGAAAGGAUCUUAAAAGGAAAGAAAAUUAAUAUUAUAAAAAUAUAUAUUUUUUUAUUUUUUUUAUAAAACAGAACCAAUAAAUAUGUUACACAUAUAUGUGUAGCACCGUUUUUUAGGGCAUUCGCAAUGGAAAUUCUUAAGUAGGAGUCUUUAGGAAAAAAAUAAUUAAAUAAUCAGUAGAUUCCACCAAAAGUUAAGGAUUCAAUCCUUAAAAUUCCUAAAUAAUGACUCUUUCUUAGUGAAUCCUUGCACUAUUUGCGGGUCUCCACGACUACGUGACGGUUCGUAAAUGGUCAAUUUUUUUUUUUUUUUCAAAUCCAAAAAUAUCCAGGAUUAAUCCGAAAUGCCCUUAUCGCUAAGGAUUCCAAUAAAUUUCACCGUUGCGCAUGCUCUAAAUGUUCUUAAUUAAGAACCUUUCAAUUUUCUCUUUCCUAAUUUUUAUUUAUUUUAAUUAUUUAAUUUUUAGAAACUCGUGUUAAGAUAAUUGCGGUAACGCGGCUCUGAUAAGAUUCGUACAGAAUGUAACUACUUCAUUCAACGUAUUAAAACGUUCAUGAUACUACUCUAUAUAAUUAAAAUAUUUUAACAUAGCCAGAGAAACAGUAUCUUAAAAAGCUAGAUCCAUUUACAAGACAAGAAGACACAAACCCAAAAGUGGGAGAUAUUGCCUCUUACCACUACUUUAACACCAACACUAACAAAAACAAAACUAAAAAGACCUAACAAGAGAUCUUAAAAGAGUUUAAAGAGAUCAACUCCUAAUAUGACAUGGAAGGUUAUAAAAACUAUUAUCAAGCGUUUUAAGUUUUAAAAGACUUUAAAACUCCCUAGGGUCCACAAAAACAGAAGCGCCAGGUGGCGAUUUGGUCCAAUCACCAAGAGCGCCGUCACUGUAGUCAUCUCCAAGUCGUUUAAUGCACCAAAGAUCCUCUUCGCACGAUAACACUUUCCAGUGUGGUAUCCCUCGCCGCAACGGCUCUUCUCCGGCGACUUCGGUCGCCAAAACGCCGCAGCCUCCUCCCUUGGCCAGAUUGUGAGCGUAUCCGCACAGAGACUUCACCAUCUUCGCCGCACGUGGACCUUCCCCACCAAUCCCGUACAUAAAAUGAAGCCCAAACGGUUUAAAAACCGAGGGUAUCGAAGGGAGUUUCAAAAACGGUAGCGUUUUGUCAACCACACGGGUCGUUUUAGCCACCACACGCCUCAACAGCGACGCACCACGAACCUCUAACCGGAACGAGUCUUUGCAGUUCCAAACGCUCAACACGGCCCAUGACUCUAGCGGGUACUCGAGGAACUUAGCCGAACCGGGCCAUGAUCCAGACCCGGAUCCGUAACAGCUGCCACGUGGCACCGCGACGAAUGUCCCCAGAGAGAGUUUGUUAUUCAGCACCGAAUCAAUAUCUCGCGGGAAAAACUCUGUUGUGUUGAACCGGAGUCGGUACAACGACUCUGCAUCGACCGGGUCCAAUUUAAUAACUGUGACACGACGCGAGACGUUUACUUUGUGAGCGUAAACCGGAUUGACCAAAAUCGACGGUUUACGAAACUCGGUGUAACCGCAUUUUCCGGUGAAGAGGUUAACCGAAGCUUUGUUCUCGUUUUCAGUCGCUAUAUACGAAUAUUCUGCACCGUUCUGCAUGAACCAUGCUUCCAUCAUCUUCACGAGCUUAAACCCUACGCCUUGCCUCCUGCAUAAAUAAUGAGUGAUGAUUAGUUUUAAUUUACCUAAUCAUUUUACAUGCGUGAUUAGUGGGAAUAACGGAACGUUACCUAUGAGAAGGAGAGACACGGAGCCCCAAAACGUAGGCGAGUUUAGUGUAAAGUGGCUUAACGGUGUCGUUUUGGGACUUAUGAUUUAAAUCGAGUUUUUUGCCACAUGUAACGGUUUUGAUACAACCUCUAAUCAUGCCCACUAUCUCCUUCUUCUCCGUACCAAUCUCGGCCACCUAUCACAGCCAUAAUAAAUUUUCCGUUAUUAAAUUUGUCAUUUUUCUUAAUCUUUAUUAAAUACAAAAAACUUUAUGAGGGUGGCUACUCCAUACAAUUAGUUCAGAAAAUAUAAAUGAUGGGCUUUUUUAUCAUAUCAAGAGUCGGAAGAAACAUAUAUGGCUACAAAAAUAGUUAACUUGAAAAACAAAAUUAAAAUUCUGUUUAUGGAAAUGUUUUUAGAAGAUAAAAAUCGGUUUUGUUUUGUUUAAAAGAGAGUAGGAAGACGGAAUAACAGAAGAAGAAAAAACAAAUAUUGGAAGGCAAUAGUAAAUUACCAACAUAAGAAAAGAAGGUGAAUGUCGGAUCCUACUAAUCGGGUCACCCAAAAGGUCGGUGAAGAGAGAAAGCUUGCCGCUUGGACCGACCUCGCACCGUCGCUCCACAUCCUCCACACCGGCUAAGUCUCUGCUCGGGUCGUAUUCUCUAACCACCGUCAUAUUUUGCUUUGUUUAGAGAGAGAGAGAGAAAAACAGAGCAAAGAGAAAGAGAGAAUAAGUUAGAGGACGAGUGGAGUAGAUAGGGUUUUAUAUUAGAUAGGGAGGUGAGUGUGUAACUGAGAGAAGUGAGGGAACGAGAAGCAUUUAUAGAAAGCUAGAUAUAUAACGUGAGGUAUAAGUAAUGAACAGAGAAGCUACAAGAGUUUAUAGGAUUUGGAUUUAAAAAGGGAAUCGAAAAAGACUUACAAAAAUAAAUCGGCUACUUUUUUACUUAUGAUGAGGUUUAAAAGUUGGAGAAGGCGAGUAGUUCAUGAUUGAAAGAAGCUUAAAGUUCUUCUUCUCAAUCCUAUGUAUAGCUUCUACAGUACCCAUUUUGUUUUACUCCUUUUUCAUAAUUAAUGCUUUUAACCGGUAACUGAAGGGCUCUUCCUUUUGUUUAUUUAGCGGAUUAGGAAUUAUUUUUUAAUUUUCAUCAAAAUUAUGAAUAUAAAUGAUAUUUAUAAAAUUUUAGAUCAAAUAAAUAGAUAAAAAUAUUAUUAAAAAUAAAAUAAAAAAUAAAAAAAUAAUUUAAAAAAUAGAAUAGGCGGCCGCCUAGGCGGUCAUUUAGACGGUAUAGGCGGAGAAAAUCGGAUAUCCGAAUUUUUUAACCGAUUUGGCAUAAAUCGAGACUUUUAAAAUAUAUCCACCAAAUUUUAUCUAAAACACUAGCUCGCCAACAAAAAAAUGUCAUCAUCACCAAAACAUGUAAUCUAUAAUUACAAAUUCUGAGUUAAUAACGCUGUAAUGUCAUCAUCACCAAAACAAAAACGAUCAAAAUUUUGAUGUUGGAUGGGGCAAUGUUUUGAUCGAGUUUUCAAUAUUAUACAAAUCUUAUAGCCAUGCAUGGAUGAUUGGCUUGUUUUUGUAUAUAUAAUUAACUACGGUUUCAAAUAAGAAAAAACACCAUGACCGAAUAUAUUCCUUUUACUAUUUUCCAAAAAUUAUUUAGUACUCAUUUUACUACAAUAGGUUACUGGAAUAAAUAUGUAGAGAUGCGUUGUGAAAUACAGUAAACGUCUUUAAUGGGCAUUAAAUCUCUAAUUAUUAGAAACAUGAAAUGUAGUUUUCCUCGCGAAGUAAAAUAGCAGUAAUGAGGAUGAACAGGUUAAUAAUGGUGAUUAAGACGAGCAUUGAUGUCGAACACUUCUUUUUUUGAAAAAUUGAUGUCGAAAACUUGCCCAAACGGAAGUGUUGUAAGUGGGAGUGAGAAGUGGAAAUGGCGGCUAUGUCUCCGUUAACUCACUAUGGUUUCUCUCUCUAUCUCACUCUCUCUAAUUUUCGUUUUCCUUUGCCCACAAACUCACACAUAUCACCUUUCACAUCAUCGCUCUGAAUGCAUUGCACCAUCUCCAAAGUAAUGAUUUACGUUAACAUUUGUUUUUUUAUUUUAAAUGUUGUAUAUGUAAUCAACCGUUUAAUUAUUUUCUUCCUAUUAUAUACUACUACUAGAUUGCUUACGAUAGUUGACAUUGUUUGAAUGGGACAAUGUUAUGUUGUUUUAUGAGAAAUUUGGCGACAUGUACGUAACAAACCCAAAAACCAACAAUAUAGCCAUAGCAUUAAGAAAGUUAUGAUAUUUAUGAAAUAAUUUUUAUAUUGUCUUUUCUUACUUUCACCUCUUUCUUUUAAUUAACUUCAUAAGUUUAAAAAUUAUUUAUUUGAGUUUCUUAAAUAACUAUAAAAACCAUAGAUUUUUUUCUGUAUAUGAAAUGUUUUGAAUUUUGUAAAACUAACAUAUAUUUAUAAAUUGUACAUAUAUAAGUUAUAAUAAAAUGUUUGUCUAUUCUAUUAACGAGACAUAGAAUAUAAUUAAAAUUAUACAAUAUGUAUUUGUUGUAUUUUUCCCUGUAUUUAAUUUUUCAAUCUUCAUCUCUAUUCUUUUCCAUCUUUCCUUCUUUCUAUGUAUAUUUUUUUUUCUUUCUCUCUUAUUUUUUCUUUUUCCAAUAUAUAAUGUUCAAAUAAUAGAUUGUUGUAUUAUAUUUUAUUUACGAAAUAUAGAAUAAAAUUGUAAUUAUCCUCUCUCUCUCUCUCUCUCUCUCUCUCUCUCUCUCUCUCCCUCCCUCCCAUAUACGUCUACAUACUAUACUAUAUGGCCAUCACAUAUAGAAUAACAAAUUGUUUUAAUUUGUAUUAUAUCAACCAAAUUUGCUUUUUCAUAUACUAUAUCAUGCUAAACCAUCUGUACUAUGAACAACUAUACUCUUUUAUAUUAGAUAUUAUGUUUAUUCCAUUAAACAUCUACAAAUAAAUAAUAUAAAGAAAAUUAAAUUCUUCUUUAUUGUUAAAUUUUUGUUUGAGAUAUCUAUUAUAUAUAGAUAAUAUAAAUAGAAUGAUAUAUGUUGUUGCGUGUGGCAUACAAACGCUCACGCGUUACGGAGGACUUCAAUAUCUAUUUACGGGGUAAAAAGACACGACUCCCAAGUCACACUACAAGAAAAAUUGAACAUUGUGACUAGAUAUUAUGACAAAAAGUUUGGUCACAAUAUUGCGACAAUUUACAUACGGGGUAGUGACUAAAUUUUUUUGUCACAAAAUCGUGAUUAUUUUGUCACAAUGUUGUGACGAAUGUAAAAGUAACAAAUGAAACGUUGCUAAAAGUUACAAAAAAUGUGACGAAGUGGUUAGUCACAAGUAUUGUUACGGAAUCGAGACUAGAAGUCGUCCCUACUAGACACGAUUUCAUGGUUUACAUAGUGUCAUCCAGGGUGACCAAAAGUUCGUAAUCAUAUCAUCUCAACUUGUUACGGGGUUGAUGACUUUUAAUUUAAUCAUAAUUGUAAUAUAAAAUAUUACUAUAUUCCAUCACUAUUAUAAAAGCGAUAUUGCUUUAAAAUUCAGACUCAAAAUUUUAUCUUUUCAAAUUACUCUCACAUCUAUAAUUGAAACCCCAAACAACUACCCCAAACUCUAAUCAUUAAAUCAUAAAGAUUAACCUUACACUUUAAGUAAUAAAUUACAAUUGCUAUAAUAUGCGUAAAACUAAUAUCUAACACUCAUACAAAAUUAUAACAUUAUAAUCUAAACUUUAACCUCAUACUUUAUAUCUGAACCUCAAAAUGUAUUCCCCAAACUCUAAACCCUAAAUAAUAAAGAUAACCCUCGACACUUUAAAUCAUUGAAGUUAAAAUCAUAAUAACCAAAAUAUAAUCACUAAUUAUAUAUAAAAAUAUUUAAUAAAUUUACAUAUAAAAUUUAAUAAAUUUAGUUAAAAAUAUAAAUUGAAUUCACUACGUAUAAUAUUAAUAACCACCAAAUUUAAUAUUUUAUAAAUCCUAACACCAAACAUUAAAACAAACUUGAAAUCGUAUACCCUAAACUCCAAAUUCUAUAUCCUAACUCUAUAUACUUGAACUUAUAACUUUAAGUCAUAUAAAUUAAAUCACAAAUCCUUUUAACAAACCUUAACUUUAAACAUGUACAUGAAACCCUAUACCCUAAACUCUAAAUCAUAAAUUAUGUCUUAAUCUUUAAAAAAAUAUCAUACAAUUUUAAAUAUUAAACUAUUACACCAACAUAUAACCAUUGAUUAAGAAUAUUUUCAUUAAAAAAAAACAUAUAACCAUUGAAUACGUACACAAAAUUAAUCUAUCUCUAUCAAGCAAAUCAAUUAAUUAAACUACAAAACCAAAACUUAAACAAAACUAAAUAACCAUGUUUUGGUUUUGGCUCCAAAUUAUUUGGAAUUGACAUUAAAUAUUUUAGGUUUCCCACGUAAAAAAAAAAGGUUUCCCAUGUUUUGAGAAUUUGCUCUAUCUCAUAACCCUAUUCGACUCUUAUUUGGCGUAGCCUCCAUCUACUCUUUUCUCUCUUUCUCUAGCAAAUCAACAAUCCUUUCAGAUUCUUCUUUUUUAUUCAGUUCAUCCAUUUGAUUCUAACUCCCUCUUAUGUUCUUCUCCCUGAACAUCUCUUUCUUUAUUUUUAUCUCUCAGCGAUUUUUAGGAUUCAGAUUUCAAAGCUCUUUUCACUCACUAAUGGUCGAAACUUUUACCCUACUGCUUCUCAACGACUCCAAGGAUCUGUAAUGCCAAUGGAAUUUACUAGCUAGUCGAAGUAUGUAUCUCUCUCAGUUCCAUUUCUUUUUCGAUUUAAUAUGUUACUUUUUCAGAUUCUAGUUUGGUUCAUUUGAUUUUAUCUGAUGUUAGAUUUCGGAUUCAGAUGCAGAUACAACCACUACUUUGUAGUAGAUCUGACCACUACAGUGUUAAAGGCUUUCAUCGGGAGUAUAUGAACAGCCAAUGAUGAUGGCGGAGGUGUAGACAAGGGCGGAAGGAGAAGGAGGUAGUGGUGUGGGAGACCAGGAGUAUACGAAUCUCGUUUGGUUGCUGUGGUUUGACGGAGGCAAAGGAGGUGGUGGUGUAGGAGACCAGUUUACCCUAAUUUGCUUUGCUUUGGUUUGUAUCAUAUUUGGUUUCUAAUACCAGGUUAAUUUUUGUAACCAGUUAACCGAUAUGUAGUUUGGGUUGUCAAUAAAAUAUAUUCUAAUUACAA